UACGUAGGGCGCAAGCGUUGUCCGGAAUUAUUGGGCGUAAAGAGCUCGUAGGCGGUCUUUCGCGUCUGCUGUGAAAAUCCAGGGCUCAACCCUGGACCUGCAGUGGGUACGGGCAGACUAGAGUGCGGUAGGGGAGAUCGGAAUUCCUGGUGUAGCGGUGAAAUGCGCAGAUAUCGGGAGGAACACCGAUGGCGAAGGCAGCACUCUGGGCCGGUACUGACGCUGAGGAGCGAAAGCGUGGGGAGCAAACAGG
rnacentral:rRNA from 1 species